rnacentral:lncRNA from 1 species
UCGGGGAUGUUGAUAUGAUUUUCUAAUUGAAACUAACUAAAAGAAAGAUACUCAGAUUCGAAAAGCAUUUAUUUAAUUAAUCAAAGAAGAGUUUUGGCAUAAAUUAAAAUGGAUGAAAAACAAGAAGAUUGAAGCGAACACAAAUUGUAUGAAGGAAGAUUUAAUUGUAUUGCAUAACAGAAAUUAAAAUUGUAGAAUAAAUAUAACUUUCUACCCAAAUAAACUCUCAAAAAUUAAAACUCAAAAUAAAACCUAAAAUAAAGCUAAAAAUAAGAACAACAUGCUCUCAAACUCAACAUAUAACUUCUCAAUUAAAACUUUCAAUUAAAGUACAACUAAAAAAAAUACAUUGUUCUCAUGAACUCAAAC